GAUGAACGCUGGCGGCGUGCCUAAUACAUGCAAGUCGAGCGAACGGACGAGAAGCUUGCUUCUCUGAUGUUAGCGGCGGACGGGUGAGUAACACGUGGAUAACCUACCUAUAAGACUGGGAUAACUUCGGGAACCGGAGCUAAUACCGGAUAAUAUUUUGAACCGCAUGGUUCAAAAGUGAAAGACGGUCUUGCUGUCACUUAUAGAUGGAUCCGCGCUGCAUUAGCUAGUUGGUAAGGUAACGGCUUACCAAGGCAACGAUGCAUAGCCGACCUGAGAGGGUGAUCGGCCACACUGGAACUGAGACACGGUCCAGACUCCUACGGGAGGCAGCAGUAGGGAAUCUUCCGCAAUGGGCGAAAGCCUGACGGAGCAACGCCGCGUGAGUGAUGAAGGUCUUCGGAUCGUAAAACUCUGUUAUUAGGGAAGAACAUAUGUGUAAGUAACUGUGCACAUCUUGACGGUACCUAAUCAGAAAGCCACGGCUAACUACGUGCCAGCAGCCGCGGUAAUACGUAGGUGGCAAGCGUUAUCCGGAAUUAUUGGGCGUAAAGCGCGCGUAGGCGGUUUUUUAAGUCCGAUGUGAAAGCCCACGGCUCAACCGUGGAGGGUCAUUGGAAACUGGAAAACUUGAGUGCAGAAGAGGAAAGUGGAAUUCCAUGUGUAGCGGUGAAAUGCGCAGAGAUAUGGAGGAACACCAGUGGCGAAGGCGACUUUCUGGUCUGUAACUGACGCUGAUGUGCGAAAGCGUGGGGAUCAAACAGGAUUAGAUACCCUGGUAGUCCACGCCGUAAACGAUGAGUGCUAAGUGUUAGGGGGUUUCCGCCCCUUAGUGCUGCAGCUAACGCAUUAAGCACUCCGCCUGGGGAGUACGACCGCAAGGUUGAAACUCAAAGGAAUUGACGGGGACCCGCACAAGCGGUGGAGCAUGUGGUUUAAUUCGAAGCAACGCGAAGAACCUUACCAAAUCUUGACAUCCUUUGACAACUCUAGAGAUAGAGCCUUCCCCUUCGGGGGACAAAGUGACAGGUGGUGCAUGGUUGUCGUCAGCUCGUGUCGUGAGAUGUUGGGUUAAGUCCCGCAACGAGCGCAACCCUUAAGCUUAGUUGCCAUCAUUAAGUUGGGCACUCUGAGUUGACUGCCGGUGACAAACCGGAGGAAGGUGGGGAUGACGUCAAAUCAUCAUGCCCCUUAUGAUUUGGGCUACACACGUGCUACAAUGGACAAUACAAAGGGCAGCGAAACCGCGAGGUCAAGCAAAUCCCAUAAAGUUGUUCUCAGUUCGGAUUGUAGUCUGCAACUCGACUACAUGAAGCUGGAAUCGCUAGUAAUCGUAGAUCAGCAUGCUACGGUGAAUACGUUCCCGGGUCU
rnacentral:rRNA from 1 species